rnacentral:rRNA from 1 species
CCUACGGGGGGUAGCAGUGGGGAAUAUUGCGCAAUGGGCGAAAGCCUGACGCAGCGACGCCGCGUGAGGGAUGAAGGUCUUCGGAUCGUAAACCUCUGUCAGCAGGGAAGAACGGUCACUGUGCUAAUCAGCAGUGAAUUGACGGUACCUGCAAAGGAAGCACCGGCUAACUCCGGGCCAGCAGCCGUGGGAAUACGGAGGGUGCGAGCGUGAAUCGGAAUUUUUGGGCGUAAAGCGCUCGUAGGCGGUAUGCAAAGUCAAGGGUGAAAUCCCCGCGCUAAACGUGGGAACUGCUUUUGAAACUGGCAAACUUGAGUGUGUGAGAGGAUAGUGGAAUGCCAGGUGUAGGAGUGAAAUCCGUAGAUAUCUGGAGGAACAUCAGUGGCGAAGGCGAUUAUCUGGCACAUAACUGACGCUGAGGAGCGAAAGCGUGGGUAGCAAACAGGAUUAGAUACCCGGGUAGUC